CCUACGGGUGGCUGCAGUGGGGAAUAUUGGACAAUGGGGGGAACCCUGAUCCAGCCAUGCCGCGUGUGUGAAGAAGGCCCUCGGGUUGUAAAGCACUUUCAGUGAGGAAGAACGCCUGGUGGUUAAUACCCAUCAGGAAAGACAUCACUCACAGAAGAAGCACCGGCUAACUCCGUGCCAGCAGCCGCGGUAAUACGGAGGGUGCGAGCGUUAAUCGGAAUUACUGGGCGUAAAGCGCGCGUAGGUGGCUUGAUAAGCCGGUUGUAAAAGCCCCGGGCUCAACCUGGGAACGGCAUCCGGAACUGUCAAGCUAGAGUGCAGGAGAGGAAGGUAGAAUUCCCGGUGUAGCGGUGAAAUGCGUAGAGAUCGGGAGGAAUACCAGUGGCGAAGGCGGCCUUCUGGACUGACACUGACACUGAGGUGCGAAAGCGUGGGUAGCAAACAGGAUUAGAUACCCCGGUAGUC
rnacentral:rRNA from 1 species